UACGUAGGGGGCAAGCGUUGUCCGGAUUUAUUGGGCGUAAAGCGCUCGCAGGUGGUCACGUGCGUCGUGCGUGAAAGACCCCGGCUCAACUGGGGAGGGUCACGCGAUACUGAUCGACUCGAAGGCAGGAGAGGGUAGUGGAAUUCCCGGUGUAGUGGUGAAAUGCGUAGAUAUCGGGAGGAACACCAGUGGCGAAGGCGACUACCUGGCCUGUUCUUGACGCUGAGGCGCGAAAGCUAGGGGAGCAAACGGG
rnacentral:rRNA from 1 species